CCAGAAAAGGAAUACAUGAUGAGCUGAGUGCAAUGGCUGCACUCAGCGUUUAUUUAACAAAUAAAAGGGUUGUAAACAGCACAAAACAGGACACGGCACUGGUAGCCAAAAGAAACAUAUAAACAAAACGGACUAAACACUUAACAAACGGUGCACGGAGACAAACAAACACGACCUACAGAAACAACACUGCAGGAAGGCUAGCAGUCGACGGACCGAUCGCUCUGCUCAGCUCACCGCUACCACCCCUGCGCUGACUCGGGAGCGGCGAAGAUGAACACACUCUGUCCUCCAAAGCGUAUGCCGUCAGCCGACCGUUUCUUUUCACUCUGCAGGCCCACCAUGCAGCCAAACCAGAGCUACAGCAUCGGAGGACAACGCAGCUCUGGGCACAUUACAGGCAAGCCCGCAGGCGCCCGGCCAGACUACAGGGGCUGCUUGUGUGCAGUGAGCCGAGGACCCCCUGGCCGACCUAAGCCCUACCCUCCCCCCGGGAGCUCCCGUCCACGGUCAGAGGUGGAAUAGUCCUACACAUACCUUAUUUCUGUAAUAUCGGCAGUUUUCUUUUUCGUUUUUUAAAAAAUUGUAUAUACAUUAAAUAUGAGGUUUUAUGAUAAUUUAGUCUUCGGGCAUCUGCAGCUUAAUUUUAAGCUGUUUCCAAAUAAGUACUGCACUGUAGAAUAGGUUAUGACUUAUUAUAGCCUGUCACACCCCAGGGAAUCAAGUGACAUUACCACAGUGACUUCACUUUUGAUUUCAGGGAUUUAGAACACUGAGCCACUUAAUCAAUAGGGUUCAAACCGGGUGAUUCAUUACAAGAGAGUGCUUGUAAUGCAUGGGUCUGUUCAGAAAUCUAGUCAACACCCUGUGACUGGUAAGCCAAAUCCAAGACAUUUCCCACUUUUUAACAUGUGGUACUCUUUUAAAGACAUUAUAAGAAUAUUUACCACUUUAAAUUCCUCCCAAUGAUAUUUGUGCUUUUAUUUAACUGUAUUAAGCGACCACCAGUCUAACGUGACCAGCGACCACAAUUCUCUUACCCAGCAAUGGACUCAAACCUGUAUUAAGAACCCUUAUACAGGGCUAUUUUAUGAAAAAUAUGGUUUCAAAUGGUACGUCCUAAAUUCAAAGGGAUAGAGUAACCAUUUUAGUGGUCUUUUAUCCAUAAUCAAUAAAACAACAGCGCUCUCUUAUAAAGGAAGAGAGAAAAUGUAGAGAAACAAAAGGGCCUUCCUAGAUGUCAGAAUUAAAGUUAUUAAACUUGUAAAGACGGUCAGGUGCCAGAAAAACUGCUGAAAAAUUUGGCACUAGAAAGACGCAGAUACAGCAUUUUGAAACGGAAAGAACUAGGGCUUGAAGUUUUAGGUUUUUGUUUUUGUUCACGUGACCGUGUUUUGAGCCGAUUCAAUAUCUAAAUUAAACUGUUAAUUACUAAUCAAAGUCGCUUCUUUUUACCUUGAUGUCCUGAUUGACUUGCUGAUUCUGUUUCACCUUCUUCAUUAUUCGAACACAAGAGCAAGCAAUGACAUUAAUCACUUCCCCCAGAUGCUACUUUAACUUGCAUUUCGUUCUCACACUUGCCUGGGAACUAGAUAUCUUCCAAUGUGCCUGUUUCGUGUUGUGUUGUUCAACAUGUACUUGAAAGGCAGACACAGGCACUGAAAUUUGAAAAGGAUUUAAAACAUUUCGUGUGACCUGAGACAGGCAAACAUUCAUAACUUUCACACAAUAAUUUGUUUUGUAAAUGCAUUAUCUAAUUGAAUGUUAUCAAAUUACAUACUUCCUUUUGUUCAUAUUACAUCUUCUGGCUUUUACAGUGUAUGUAAGACAUACAUAACUACAGGAAAGCAUGUCAGAGACAAAUAGAAAAUUCAUAAGUUAUGGGCCCUCUUUUAAGAGACCACCUGUGUUAAGAGGCCACUAUUUGAAUGUCCCUUGAGUGGUCUCUUAAUACAGGGUUUACUGUACAGUUAAUUAUACAAACAACAACACCAGAGUAAGGUUGUAAGCUUUCAAUUACAUUUUCUUUGUAUACUGGGAUCUCGGGAACCUGUGUCUCCUGGCUGUCCACUUACCUAUCUGGACGCAUGCAGUCUGUUUUCUAUGAUGGAAACAGUGCAGACGCAAACCCGGUCACUUGCGGUGUCCCUCAAGGAUCUGUUCUUGGGCCUCUUCUUUUCAACAUCUACAUGCUUGCUAACAUAGCCUCAUGUUUCACUCCUAUGCAGAUGACACCCAGCUCUACUAAAAAUUAGACCCUGGAAGUCCCUCUGCCAUGGUCCGGCUCUCAGCUUGCAUCCAAGACAUCGAGGCAUGGAUGUCUGACAACUUUCUUCAGCUCAACACUGACAAAUCUGAACUUCUAGUAGGAUCGAGAACUCAACUGAAGAAUCUCAAUAUUGUUGCCUUGAACCUCGGAAACUGUAUGCUGCUGCCUUCCCCCACCCCACUAUGAAGCCUUGGUGUACUUCUGGAUAGUAACCUUUCCUUUGAUGCCCAAAUCUCCUCUGUAGUCAAAUUCUCCUUCUACCACCUCCGAAACUCUCAAAGGUCCGUCCCUACCUUUCCCUCCCAGAUGCAGACACACUCUGUCAUGCAUUCAUUUCCUCUCGACUCGAACACUACAACUCUCUCUAGUGCUGCUGCUAGGAUCCUUACCAGAUGUAAAAAACAUGAUCACAUUACCCCCUGUCUUGCCCAGCUGCACUGGCUACCUGUAAAGUUCAGGAUUACUUUCGAAAUUCUCCUGCUUGCCUACAAGGCCCUUCAUCACACAGGUCCAGAGUAUCUCUCCAAUCUGCUGACCUGCUAUGUCCCUGCAUGCAAGCUGAGGUCCUCUGACUCAGGCUUGCUUGUUAUACCCAAGCAAAAGUGCACCACACUCGGAGAGCGCUCUUUUAGUUUCAUGGCCCCAACUCUCUCCCAGCUUUAGUGCGUGUGGCUCUGUGACCGAGCUGUUGUUGCAGUGACGUGUGGGUAGUGACGUCACGGACCAGGAAGUAAACAAAGGCAAUGAAUGGCGCUGGUGAAACUGAGCGCUACGGCGCUUAGUGUUUUUAUUAAAUCAAAAUUAAAUUAAAUCAAAUCAAAAGAUUUAAACAAACACAAAAAACUACAAAACAAAAAGGCGCGUUGGCUUUCAAUGCUCUUUGAGCCUGGUAUCUGUUAUUAACUGCUGUCUAAAUUGCUAUUUCAGGUUUUUCACUCUUAUUCGUAUGAUUCUGUAUGACACACGUAUCCACAAUGUUUAGAAUUCACAUCCUAGCCUUUUAUUUAAUGUAGUAUGCCUGUAUUUAGUGUAUUUGCGUUGUUUUUUUACUGUUUGUAUUUAAUGUACUAUGCCCUGUAUUUCACUGUAUUUAAUGUAUUAUGCAUUGUUCCUCACUAUCUUGUAAAGCGCUUUGUGAUGGUGGUCCACUAUGAAAGGCGCUAUAUAAACAUGCUUUCACUUCUCAAAAUACACUGUAGUAGUUUUUCAGGAAUUCAGGAUCGCUGUAAACCCAUGAAUCAAGCUAAGUACGAUACUAGAAGUAUAAGCGGUGCUGUUGGAUAGCUACCGACUGCAGACCCGUUAACAUUGCUUUGUUUUAUUUCAAUAACCACAUUUAUGUUUAAACAAUAUUAUUUACAAUUAUGGAGGAUAUAACCGUUACUCAGUGAAUGUUUUGUUUUAUUUAGACAAUUUCAAGUUAUUAAUUAAGAGCAUUUAAAAUUAUUAUUAUUAUUAUUAUUAUUAUUAUUAUUAUUAUUAUUUAAACAGCAAUGAAAAACAUCAGUUUGAGUAAAAUAAACUGUACAGGAAAUGGAUCAUUUGUAAAAGCAGUAAGGUGAGUAAUAAACUGACUCCAUUGUGAUUUAGCAGUUGGUUCAAACAAUUUAACAACAAUGGUGGAUUGUAAAUAAAUAUAAAACUAUAAAGAGAAUCCAGAAAUUGGAAAACAAGGUUUUUAUGCUGGGUUGUUUUUUGAAUGAUGAUGAUAUUAUUAAUAAUAAUAAUAAUAAUAAUAAUAAUAAUAAUAAUAAUAAUAAUACUUAAAUGAGAUAGCUGUAGUAAUUGUAUCAAAUAAAUAUGUGACUAAAACCAAGAUUAACUGAGAUUAAUUUUUUUAAUCUCAAAAUUAAUCGUGAAAGUUCAUGGUUGCCCAGCUCUAGAUACUAUUUAAUUUAGCUGAGUGUAGAAAACUUACCAUUCUUUACCACCAGAGGUUGCUAUUGGAAUUCAGAAAAAAUAUCAAGCUCAAAUAUGACCCUUGUCUAGUGCAAUGUAGAAGCAGCAUUUUUUACUUUUGUAGUUGUGAGUGCUAAGCAGUGGUAUUGUACACUUCCAUUUGUCCUAUAUAUUAAUUUUAUUAAAAGUGAAAAGCUCUAGGAAACUAACAACAGCUAAUGUGAAUGUUCAAAGCCAACCAAAAAAUCCACUUUAGGUCAAAGAUGUAGCCAUUUCCUAACUGCUAUAGUUUAUACACAAGUCAAGUGCUAAUAAACGCUGCAGACAAAAACAAUAUUCACAGCAGUAAAAUGAAUAUAUCAGGUCCUAACCAUAAUUCCUAUACAAAAAAAUGUCAGAAUUAUAAACCACCAACCUGGCAUCUCCAUAAACGUGAAAUACAUCACAACAUUUGUAAAAUAAGAGACGAAACAUCUCAGUGUGCUAAAAAAAUUAUUUCAAAUUCACACACUGAAAUAAAUAUAGUUUUGUCAGAACUAGCGAAAGCAAAGCAGUCAAGCCAGGCAUAUAAGAAUGUGAAUAAAGCAGACAGGUCAGCAGUUUGGGAAGAAUCUAGCAUUUCCUGUACAGUGUAUGCUCUCUAAAGUACUGAUGCUCUUACCUUUCUUACGUCAAGUAACGAUUCUUAAUUACAAUAACACCCCAAUUAAAGGGAAUAACCUUCUGUAUUAUGAAAAUGGUCUAAAUAACCAAUUUAGUAUAAUGGAAUUCAUGAACUAUAAUGGAAUUCAUGAACUAAAAUCGAACAAAAUUUAGUAUAAUGGAAUUCAUGAACUAAAAGAACAAAAUACAAGAUGAAAAUUUGAUGAAGAAAAAAAAAUCAUUACAAUAAUCGCUACAACUGCAGCUAUAAAUGAUAUUAUUUAAUAAUUCUAUCAUUUUUUAAAUGGAUGGGGCAAGCUUGAUUAAUUUUUAUUGACACUUGUAGAUAUAUUAGAUGCUUUCUGUCAAAAUGUGAUGGAUAGUGACCUUUGAUCUUUAUGAUAUAUAUAUAUAUAUAUAUAUAUAUAUAUAUAUCUAUUCUUUGCAAAAUAACUUUGUUAAUGUAACAGUUCAGUUAGGGUUGAUAAAAAGACAAAAAGUGCUCUAGACACCAACUGGUAGGCUGCCAGGGUUGUAUAUAUAUAUAAUCAUAACCAUAUUAAAUAUCAUUUAGAUUAAAUAAAGGUCAAAGGGCCAUCAGAUUUUGACAGAAGGCUUCUAAUGUAACUACUCACACUAUGGACCUUUACAUUGUCCAGGAAAUCUUUUAUUCUUAAACAACAGAUAGUUAUACAACAUCGCACUGGCUUGGUGUAUCUAAACAGAUGAUGAUGAUGAUGUAAACAUGCAUGGCUCCUUUGAAUCUCUGUAUAAGUGAAAAUGCAUCUUCUUAGACCUUGGCAGUAGGUGCAGCAACACUUUGCUGCUUGCUGUGCAGUAUUUUCCCACAAACAACACUUCAGUCGUUGUGCCUGACCCUGAUUUAUAUGCAACCUCACAGCCACGCUGUAUUUUACAAAUAUCUAGGAGCUGUGUGAUUAAUUAACAUCUAGUUCAUAGCCCUUGAAAUUAUUGCAGGAUCUCAGGAGCUAAUUAGCUUACUGUAAACCUUAUAGUAAUAAUAACAAUAGUUCAAAAUUUAACAGCAGUGAUGCCCAUUUCAUCAUAAUAAAUGGCUGGGGGUUUUAAAUAUUAACUCUAGAGUGAAAGAGACGUGAUAAAUAUGCAUGAAUGAUAGGCCUAAUGUGAUAUGUGGACCAAUCCCAGUUAUAUCGUCUUAGAAUAAAAAUGUACUUACUACACUGAUUUAAAUAAAAUGGUACAGAAUUAAUUAGAACCAUGAACAUUAAUGGAUGUUGUUUAAAAAAAAACAUUUAAUACAAAAAGCAUACUUCAAAUAUGCAAGAUUUUCUGAAUAUGAGAUGCAACUAAAUAUAUGUAUGUAAUUAUGAAUGUAUGUACAAUAUGUUAUGAAAUAUUACUCUAGUAGACACUACAGCAAUAGGGACUUUUAACAAGCAUUUAUUCAGUGGAUGAAAAUACAUUUUAAUGCAAUUCAUUAUUUCGAACCAAUAGUAUUCAUUCAUUCAUUAUACAUAAACAUUAUUAUAAUGUUUAUAUUUUUAGAUUUCUCAUCAGGAAAAUGUCCAAAGACAUUCACAUAGUUCCUAAAAUGAAGUAUGUCUAUUUACAAGUGUAUGUAAAUAGCUAAAACAAUUACUAAAUUAAUAAAUACAAAUAUACACGGAUGCACAGACAAUGUAAACACGUACAAUCUACCAAUUUUAAAUAUAAUGGAAAAACAAAUUACAAAUGUAGCUGCACAACACAGGUAGCAUCAAGCAAUAGAGAUUUUAAUCUCUUUCAAAUUGAUUGUAUUGAUGCCUGCAAAAAAUGACUACACAGUUUCUCAUGGGGUAUAAUUAGGAAAAACAGUAGGCCAAAAGCUGUACUUAUAUGUUCCAAAAAUGAGAAUAAAGGAGUUUGAGUAUUUUUUUGUUAUGUAAUGCUAUAUUUAUAAGGCAGUAUUUAUAAACACAUUUGCAUAUAUCAAGAUGAAAAAGUUGUUUGAAUUUGGGUAAUUUGCAUUUCUUGAAACAUAUGGCAUAGCAGUGAGAGCCAUGGGCCAUGCCUUCAUUAACUGAGCGUUGUUUCAUCACUAUCUCAGUUUCCUGCUGAGCCACCCUGUGGCGUAGCCUUCUGUCCCUGAGGUUUUAGUGACAAGGGACAAUAUGUCCCCAAGGUGAAAAUCUGGGGAAAUAUCUCAGAUCUGCUCUCCAAGGAGCUCAAAUGAUUAUUUAAUCAGACCUUAGUGGGGGAAAAAAGAAAAGACUUACAAAAUUCAGUGACUAGAAUACUGAUCGAUUUACAGAUAACAGAUUUGCAGGUAAAGUCUGGCACUUCUGAGCGUUAAGAGAACAUGAAUAGAGCAAUGCUAUGUUAAAAGUAUACUAAACAUCUGAACUGAAAGUAAUGGCUGUCAAUUUGUAAGUAGAACAAAACAGUUUGAAAUGCAAACUGUACAACUGAUUUGCAUGAUGCAGCUGAGCAGCAUUCGGAUAUUAAAACAUAUUUUUCAUCAUCAUUCUGUAACGUUAUCGGUUUGUUUAACCUUUUUCAAACUGUAAUGGUAUGUAAGCCAAGUGAAAGUCCCUGGAAUGAGCCAUGAUAAAUAAGGCUCAGUGGCUAAACCCUGCAUCUGUCAAAUUCCAGUGACCUCUCUUAGACAGUAGCUAAAUCAACUAAGUUUAGUGUGAGAAUUUAAGCCUUGUUUUAGUUGCUAUGCUUGUGAAAAAAAAAAGGUUAACCUACUUUAAAGUUCAUUGUUUCAAAGUUUAGGUUUGCAGUUGACAAGCUCAAUCGAGUUCAAUCAAAUCAUGAUUUGUAUUAAAGAAAAGUUAAGUAAAAGUUAAGACUUUUUUAUGGAAAAGAAGAGGUGACUUGAUGCAAUCUUUUUUAUAAAAUGAUGAAUGGGAUUGAAAGAUGGAAAGCACAAUAAUUAACCAAGGCUUGUUGGACCUGUUGACUUUUUAGUACAUUGACAAUAGAUUAGUCUAUUUUGUGUUAAUGUGUUUUGGUUAUGAUUUCAGGAGCUGCUCUUCAAUUCACGUUACCUGCCACAGGCAUAUGUAAUGUAGGCUACUUUAGCCAAGGUGUCUUUAUAUUAAUAAGCUCUGACACUUUCAGAUGUACUGCAGUGUAUUGCCAUCAAAACAAAGAGAAACUUUAUCAAAAAUGUCGAUCAUUAGAUCACUAGUCCUUGUUUUUAAUGUGAAAUCCAAGUUCAAGUUUACUUCCCACCUGCCACAGCCCCAUUUUACACCUGGUGUCUAUUUUAAACACAUUUAUACUGUAGUAAGGUGUGAUUUGUGGUGUGUUCUGGUUUUACUAAAUAUGUAAUAUGUAUUAACUUUUUAUUUUCUAAUAUCACAAACUAAUUAUUUAAUUUUGGUAAUGUUUAUAAUUUCACUGUUUCUGCUGUUUGUAAAAUAAAAGGCAGAUGGCAAAAAUGACAUCAUGAAUAUACUGUCAAAAAGGCGUUAAGGUAUUCACUUUUAUGUGUUCAAUAAAUUGUGACAGCCCUUAAAAGCAGGUUCCCCCUUUUAGAUUUCAGAUUUUAUCAUUAGUCAAGUGGUUGCUCAGGUGAUAACAUUGUUUGCUGUUGUAUGGCUUUGAAGUUACCCAUUGGUGGCAGAUGAAGUUUUCUGAUUGUCUAGACCAGUGGUGCGCAAAGUAAACCUCAUGUUCUUACUUUAUGAAAACGUGUCUAUGGCCAUUGUUUACUGUAAAAAGUGAAAAAAAAUAUAAAAUGCAGCGUCAACAUUAUGUACUAUUUAU